rnacentral:rRNA from 1 species
GACGAACGCUGGCGGCGUGCUUAACACAUGCAAGUCGAACGGCAAGGCCCUGCUUUUGUGGGGUGCUCGAGUGGCGAACGGGUGAGUAACACGUGAGUAACCUGCCCUUGACUUUGGGAUAACUUCAGGAAACUGGGGCUAAUACCGGAUAGGAGCCCCUGCUGCAUGGUGGGGGUUGGAAAGUUUCGGCGGUCGGGGAUGGACUCGCGGGUUAUCAGCUUGUUGGUGGGGUAGUGGCUUACCAAGGCUUUGACGGGUAGCCGGCAUGGGAGGGUGACCGGCGACAUUGGGACUGAGAGACGGCGCAGAGUGCUACGGGGGGCAGCAGGGGGGAAUAUUGCACAAUGGGCGGAAGCGUGAUGCAGCAACGCCGCGUGCGGGAUGACGGCCUUCGGGUUGUAAACAGCUUUCGCCUGUGACGAAGCGUGAGUGACGGUAAUGGGUAAAGAAGCACCGGCUAACUACGUG